CAGCCGCCGCGGUAAUACCGGCGGCCCGAGUGGCGGUCACUAUUAUUGGGCUUAAAGCGUCCGUAGCCGGGUUGGGAAGUCCUCCGGGGAAUCUGGCCGCUUAACGGUCAGAAUGCCGGAGGAUACUCCCAGCCUAGGGAGCGGGGGAGGCCGAGGGUAUUCCCGGGGGAGGGGGGAAAUCCUAUAAUCCCGGGAGGGCCACCUGUGGCGAAGGCGCUCGGCUGGAACGCGUCCGACGGUGAGGGACGAAGGCCAGGGGAGCAAACCGGAUUAGAUACCCGGGUAGUCCUGGCUGUAAACGAUGCGGACUUUGUGUCGGACAAGCUAUGAGCUUGUCCGGUGCCGGAGGGAAACCGUUAAGUCCGCCGCCUGGGGAGUACGGCCACAAGGCUGAAACUUAAAGGAAUUGGCGGG
rnacentral:rRNA from 1 species